UGCGGAUGUCUUGGCAAUGUAGAAAAAAAUGGAGAAAGGAUACACGGUUUGCUGCGCGGCUGUGUGAUGUGGCAGCUCGGGGAGAAACACAAGGGCGAAAUUAUUCCGUUUCCCAACGGACCAGAAAUGUGACGCAUAGCAAAGUGGCGCUAAAUGUGGAGUCCUGGCUGGGCUGACAUGGGAACAGAUGUAUGAUGGCUACGACCUCUGCUCGGAUCACUUCAGGGACUACGCCGACCCUGUCGCGGUCGGCCGUGCCGACUGUUGGAGGGGAAAAGCUGUCCUUAGGAUGUGCACUCAUGUCUUUUACAGAAAUUACAGAAAUCGACUUCCAAGGAAAAGCUGAAAAGCCUUUGAACCUCGUCACCAAGAUCAUACACUGGGGCAGUAGUCGAAACAUCACCCCACAAUCAGCGAGCAAUUUGAACAGCCGCACUGGAAAAAGUAAACGCUCGGACACGUUGGCCGUCCCCGGCCUUCUAGAUCUGUAGCCCUUGCUGAUAGACUUGCCAUAACUCGGUGCAACCGCCGAAUCAUGAUUCACAAAUCCUUCGCAAAGAUAUAGGCUUGGCACAAGUGGGAAUAUUAUCGAAGGCUAGAAGGAGUGUGUCCUUUUCAUUGAAACUCUUCGAAGACCCUCCUGUUCCAGAACGAGGCCUCCAGAGAAGGCGGCCCCGUACGGUGUGAAUCAUGUCUCGGUAUGCCGAGGUGAGUCCCCGCCUAGCCGCAUGCAGCCCAAUCGUUGGAAAUGUCGUUCUGGAAUAUACGCGACAAAUGCUGCGCGAU